ACAAAGACCAUCAUGGUCUGAGGGAACACGGAGGCCCUCUGGAGAGGGCUCUGGCCCUUGGAAUGUAGGUCAUACAGGGACAGUCCCCCUUGGCAAGCAUGCAGCCUUUGUUCCUCUGCCUACUUAAGCAAGCUUCUCUCAGGGGCAGAGCACACUUUCAUCUAGCCAGCUGCCACUGGACCUUCCCUAAACUGCCCCUCCCUAUUCAGCGUGGCUCAGAUGUGAUUUCCAACCCAACCUUUCUGAUGCCUUGAUUUUGGACUUCUGGCCUCCAGGACUCUUUUGUAAUCCCGAUGACAUCACGGAACCUCCAUCACUGUAGGAAAUUGUUCUUCUAGGUGGCUGUGAUGACAUCAACCACUACAAGGGGAAGAAAAAGAAACAACAGGAAAUUCUGCGUUCAGCUAUUAACUGAUAAAUGAAGGAGGAACUGGCUUUUAAAGUCUUCAACUGAUUGGAUGAGGCCCACCCACACUAUGGAAGCUGAGUCCAGGCCAUGAGAAAUCCAAGAUGAAGGCAGAGAGCUGCUUCUUUGGAUGACCAAAGGGGGUUACCGAAGUGGAGAACAGAAUCUGUGGUGGCGUAUGGAACGGCCGUCAUUCAUUCACCCGACAAUGAUGUAUUGAAGGCUUAGUAUGGCAAGAACUAGGCUAACCAGGCACUGGUGGGUAAAAUAGAGAGAUAAGCAGCCCUCCCAGAGCUUGCUGCCGAGUGAGAAGCAAACAUGAAACAAUCAAUCACGCCCAUAAGUGUAAAACUGCAGUCUCGGUAAGAGAUGCGGCAGCAAGAACACAGAGCUGGACCACCUAUAAGGGAUUUACCUUAAUGGGGAAGGUAGGCAGCUGUUGCUGGAGUUUAGAUCUGAAGGAUACGCUGGGCAAGAGGGAAGGAAGUGUGUUCCUGGCAGAGGGAGCAGCAUAAACACAGGGGCUGCAGUCAGAGAAGGGGGGAGUGUGCAAGACGACUCCAGAAAAAUGAUCAGGCCAUGCAGGGUUUGGGUCUUCAUCCUAAAUGGGUCUUUAGGCUGUUAAAGCCCCUAUUACUUGACAAUUCCACUCUUAGGCAUUUACCCAAGAGAAAUGAAAACUUAUGUCCCCAAAAGACUUAACACGAAUAUUCAUAGCAGCCUUAAAAUAGCCUAAAACUGGAAAUAAUACAAAUGUCCAUCAACAAGAGAAUGGAUAAAUAAAUUACAGUAUAUUCAUACUCAAUUGAAAGGAAUGAACACACAACAACACAGAAUACUCUCAAAAAGAUUAUGCUGAGUAAAAUAGCCAGACAUAAAAACAUCUAUACUGUAUAUUUGUAUGAAAUCCAAAACCAGGCAAAACUAAUCUAUGGCGAUAAAAAUCAGAAAGUGGCUGGUUCUGGGUGUGGGGGCCAGGCAGGGGGUGACAUGACUGGAAAAGGGGAGCAAGGGAGCUUUCCGAGGUGAUAGCGAUGUUUUGUGUCUUCUUUGGGGGGGUGAUUUCAGAGGCACAUCCAAUUAUCAAAACUCCUCAAACUGGACUAAAGAUCUUGUUUUAGAU
rnacentral:lncRNA from 1 species